GAUAUUGAUGACGCAGUAAGGCGGGCAGAGAACGUGGGUAGAUCGUAAAGACGCGGUGAAUACAUCCCUGUACGCUCGAGCCGCGCCAUCCCUGGCGCGGACGCUUU
rnacentral:ncRNA from 1 species